rnacentral:misc_RNA from 1 species
UCCCCGCACGAAACACUCAAAUUUCUUUCAGUGCUUUGUGCGAGGCAGUCUCCUGUGACACUUGUAACACAGAAUGAGGGUUGCGUUCGUUUCCCCACUUAAGGGAACAGCUCAAGCCACGAACUGACGACAGCCAUGCAUCACCUGUCUAGCCUUUAAGCUCUCCUGUUUCUAGGUGAGCAUAAGCUAGAUGUCAAGUCCUGGUGAGGUUCUUCGCUUAGCGUCGAAUUAAACCACACGCUCCACCGCUUGUGCGAGCCCCCGUCUAUUCCUUUGAGUUUUAGCCUUGCGGCCGUACUACCCAGGCGGUCCGCUUAACGCGUGAGCUUCGCUUCAGAAAGGGUCGAUACUCCCUAAAGCUAGCGGACAACGUUUACGGCCAGGACUAC